CCCCUGCUUCGAUCCCUCAAUCUUUCUCCGUAUCGUGCUUCCACGUUCUUAAUUAUACAUGGCUGAGUUUUGUGUGAUGCAUUGUGUUGAUGAACGAGUCGACACAGAACUUGCAGGGUGAAUCGAUGUGAGGUAAUGGAUACUCCAGUUGAAGAUUGUGAACCCCUGAUUGCUGCUUGAAGGUUGCAAGCUCAUGGAUCUUAGGUGGAAGAAUGGCGAAUUCAAAGUGGAAGCGUGGUGAUUGAAGAAAAUUGGAGAAAGUGAGGAAGAAAUGAAGAUGUUGAUUAGAAGUGAAUGAUCAGAAAAAUGCUCAGAGAAAGGCUAUGAACUUCUUAUAUAAGAGAAGUGUAACCGAAUCGGGCACUUAAAAGGGGGCAGGUUAGUUACUUUAGGGCAGGUGCCCAGAAUUUCUGUUAGAAUCUCUUUGUAUGAAAACGAAUCCAUUUUUUCUUAGUUGGUUAGUUAUUUCUUUCAUAGUUGGUUGAAGUUAUGGUUAAGUUAGUUGUAAACAGUUGGAAUGUUAGCUGUUAGAAAUUCUGUUAUAAUUCUAGUUCUGUUAGCUGUUAAUUGCUUAGGUUAGUUAGGAAUUCCAAUCUAAAUGAAAUUGGAGUUCAAAAAUGAAAUGAGUAAACAAAAAAGAACCUCUGUUACUGCUACGUAAAACCUCUAUAAUGGAAUUGAUUUUUUUUAAUAUUAAUUUUAAAGGAAAACUGAUUGGUCUUGAAUUUCAGUUUGUUUUUAAGAUGAAAUCUGCUAUUCAUUGUUAUGAAACGGCAUGGUUAUGUGUUUGUGUGGAUUUACAGGAUAUAGUGAUGUUGUCAGCAUUGCCUUUGAAGUAUCCAUGCCAGAUUUUACAAAUUACUCAUGCAUAGGUGGUUAGUUUAUUAUAGGAUUCAUGUCGAGUAUCCAUCUUCUUUAUGGAUUACUUGGCCAGGUUAGCAUAAACUACGGGGUGUGAAUGAUUCUUGAUUGGAUGACCGUUUGGUUUACGUGGCAAUUAAAUUAGCUUGAUCCUAUUCUGUUAACUUUCUGCAGGUUAUCAAUCGUCAAACCUCUUCUUGCUGUUGCUGUGUCCACCGUGUUGCCAUUAUCAUGCAUUUUUAUGUUGGCCAAAUGAUGAUUAGUGGGAUGCGAUAAUGCUUGCGUGGAUAUCAUACUCUAUGUCGCUCUAUUGUAUGUGAUGCAAUUGGUAAUGCUUAGAUUAUGCGGUUCAGUUGCCGACUAACACAAUGCUAUGACGUAAUGAAGGAUGCUUAUGAUAUGCGUGAUGUGAGAUGCUUAAGCUGCUGUAGAAUGGACACGUUACCGCAAGUGAAGUCAUUUGGCUCAUAAAGAAACAAAUGGAUUUAGUUAAUCAAGGUCAUGGAACACGGAUGGUUAGGAUUAGGAUAUCUAGGGAUGUAAAGUCCAUUUCUUGUGUUUUUCUCGUGGGAUCAUUAUUUGGAUGAACUUAAAUAGCUUUCAAUUCGAUUUUGUAUUGGAUUUUGAAUUUGAUUUUCUAUUGGAAUGAAACAAAUGACAAUGACUUGCAUUGGAUUGGAAUUUUGGGAAUUAAAUGUGUGGAAGCUGAAUGAUUUUAUGGUUUAAUGGGAGUUAAUGUGAUUUUAGAUUGUUAUUAUGAAUUUGAAUGGCUUCCAAAUUGAUUUUGAAUUGUCAGCUUGAAUUAAAAUGUAUUGAAUAGAAUUCAAUGAUUUGUUUGAAAA
rnacentral:lncRNA from 1 species